UAGAGUUGAAUAAAUUUAUUAAUUUCACUUUUGAUACUAUGGCUAUUGGAGUGUUGUUAAUUGCAGUCCACGAGUUUUAAAA